ACCCCCAGAGGACCUCACUCCCGGAGGCCCGAACUGCUGAGUUCCCACCCAACCGAACGGACACAGAAAGAAUCUGCCCGGCCCGGCCCCGCCCCCGGCCCCUGGAUUCCUCUGGGGGCUGGGCGGGAGGCUGCGGCCGAAAGGCGAAAGAGAGGCUCUUGGCCGCCUCUCCCCUCCUCGCCGUGCUCAGCCAGGUUGUAGAGUACUUGUGGAUUGUGGGACGUCCAGGCUGGUCCGGGUUAAGGCCGUAAGGGGUGCCCCCAGCCAGGGACUUUUAACCCUGUCUUCGUCCCUCUUAAGUCCUCCAAGUGAGACGGUCCUCGGGGCUCUGCUGAUUGCUGAGGUUCCGAGAUGCAGGGGUUUGGUUGGGCCUGGCAGAUAGCAGCUCCUGUUGCAAGAGCUCCUCGCACCCCUUUCCUGUAUCUGUCAGCUAACGGGGUUAGCCAGUUCCUUCACUGGUGAACGUCAGCGCCUGCUUACCCAGACCGCGGUGGUCAGUCGCUAAGGGUGGCCUGUUGAUGGCACUGAGAGAUGCUAUAAACACCAGGUGUGUGAGGCCGCUCCGGUAUAAUGUCGCAUAGUGUUUUACAAACAAAUUUAACACUGGCCAGAACAAGAGCUCUAAGAAGCUGGGAAGAUGGGCCCCAGAGUACAGGGGAGAACAAUUCUGCAGACACAAGAGAACCCUGGGACCUGGGUGUGGUGGUGCACACCUGUCAUCCUAGCUACUUGGACAGCUGAGGCAGGAGGAUCACAAGUUUGAGCCCAGCUUGAGCAACUUAGUGAGACCCUGUCUCAAAAAAUGCAAAAGGGCUAGGAUGUAGCUCAGGGCUAGAGUGGUUGUCUGGCAUGUACAAGGCCUUGACUUUAAUCCUCAGUACUGAAAGAAAAAAAAAAAAAAAAGAGCUCUACAGGAAGUUUAAAACCAUCAAGAUACAUAAAAGUAUAACUUUAUUGUUAUCUGCAUUCGCCCUACUGUGCAAUAAUAGCAUCCCAGAACUUCUUACUACUAUCCACCUGUAACUUAGUCCUCCAGGAUUUAUCUCACCUAUAAACAUUUUGAGAAGACCAAACAAAUACACAUGCAAUAUCAUCCAAAGGCAAUUGCAUAUUUUGUUUGGUUUUUUUUUUUUAUUUUGGUACUGGGAAUCGAACUCAGGACCUUAUGCUUGUGAGGCAGGCGGCGGAACCACUGAGCUAAAUCCCCGGCCCGGCAAUUGCAUAUUUUAUUACUCUAUUGCAUAUCAAAAAAAUAAAGACAAAUUAAAAUUAC
rnacentral:lncRNA from 1 species